CUCCCCGCUCUCAUGAUGAGCCCAUGUGCCUCUGAGCUGCCGUGAUUCAGGCUUCAAAGUAAACGCUCUGAAGAAAUGGAGCCGAGC
ensembl:snoRNA SNORD105 small nucleolar RNA, C/D box 105